UCUACGCAUCAAUUUCUCCAACAAAAUCUGCUGCGUUAGUUAGUCCUUUACAGUAUAUUUAAUAGCGGAAAGGUUUGCCGCUAUAUUCUUUGGUUGAUAAUGAACCAAUAUUAUUCUACUGUGCCAUCAUGAGUGAAUGUUGUUUGUAUGUUAGAACAGCUUUUGGGUUUUACUGGCUAUGUACCUUCUCAAGUGUGUUUAAUAGCUUUACCCUUUUCGUGCUCCUUUCGUUGUUUAGUUAAAGCAAGGAAGUUAACGGAGUAGGUGGAUACUUUGUAAAAGGUGAAAAACACGAGGCACGCACUGUUUUAUCAUUACGCAAGCGGUAUGCUGUACGUGAGGAUCACGAAAAAACCACGUCGGGUUCAUCCUACCUGUAUAGCAUACACGCGUAGUAGUCUACCGUAUUGUGAAACACAAUAGGACAUAUUAAGACGAUAAAUUAUCCAACAAUUAGUGUGUGGAUUAUUACAUGUAUCCUUCGAACUAUGCAUAAUGAGAAAAGCAACUACUACUAUAUAAUGGUGUUUAAAAAGUGACCUAGAAUAUUUAUUUCGAAAACAAACAGAAAAAGCGUGUUUCUUUUUUUUCUCUCCGCGGUAGCCUGGCCUGGGCCGUUAUGCGAAGAGCCUUUCCGAAGCCAUGGUGUUUUCAUUUGCUCAUAUUCGAUCACAGACGGAUCAGCCUCGGCUUCAUUGGGGGUUUAUCGUGCGGAAAGCACAAUGCUACCUUCAUAGAAGUGGCACCUAAUUUACGACCAACAUCAGCCCGGUUGGAAUACUGGUGUCCAAAAACGUACACAUCGUAGCGUCAAAAAGAUGAAGAAUCCAACAAUAAUGCAAUCGAAGCCGCUGUGGAAUGGCCUCGUAAAAUAUUCUGGGUGCAGCAAGCCUCGAUAAGCUAUAGGGAGAAAAUUGGGCUGAAUAUAAACCUGUAAAAAACGGCAGCCGGAAAGUUCUGAAAGAGAAACAGCCUUGUAGCAGGCCCCGUGUGCGCAGGACUAAAUUAAAAUACGUAUAUAUCUCCAGUGCUUUAACGUAACUCGCAGCUGACAGGUUGUCCAUCCAACGGAGGAAAAAAUAUGAGUAGGUAAACGAAUAAAAAAAUCUAGCCAUUUUAGUUCUUGUCAAAGCCAUUGUUCGCGGAACUGUCAAAGCCAAAUCGAGGAACGAUCAGGACCUAUACUUAUCAAGAUAUGUAGGACGUCUAUAAAAACAUAAGUCGUGACACUUGCCUUAAAUGGUCUCGAAAGACUAACGCUCAAGGAAGUAGAAAGAAAAACGCUUGCACGAUAUUUGCAAUUAGUUUGAAGUACUACGUGAAGUUUAUCGAGUAUUGCAUGUAUUCUACGUGAGAAACGUGAAUCCGAAGAAGCUUCUAGUGUUUUUUAAUCUGUCCGUUUUUCGCCGGUUUCUAUUCGCCGAUUGUUGGUUUGUCAAUAUUGUGGACAUGGGGAUUGCGUAGCUGAAUGAGUCAUUAUGUGGCCGCAAGCCUGAACCCUUAGGAAAACACGGCGUUGAUGUGU